rnacentral:lncRNA from 1 species
UAUAGCUUGGGUCUAUCAUAGAAGGAGCUGGGGUCCUUGGAAGAGGGACAGAAUUGUGCUGGGGAUGGACUGGAUGUCCCUAUGGUGGUACUGGAUGAUACGGUGGAGUCACCGGAGUGUAUUGUGAUUGUGCCGGGUGAUGCAGUUGGGGCAUCGGGCUAUAUUGUGGUGGUGCUGGGUGGUAUUGUGGCUGGGGCACCGAAUCAUACUGUGGAGGUGUUAGUUGGUACUGUGGAGGAGCGGGGUCAUACCGGGGUGGUUUAGGAUCCUCCCACUGAAGAGGUGGCUCGACCUAUGGCAGCGGGGGAGGGUCAAGUAGCUCCCUCCUUUCGUCCCGGGCCUGUUAGACAACAAUGAGUCUCUCCAAU